rnacentral:lncRNA from 1 species
GGAAAGCGGAGCGUCCGGGACGCGGCGGGACUCGAGUGUUUCGGAAAAGGAGCGUCUCCCAAGGCGGUGGUUGUCUUCACUAGCGAUGGGGUAAAAGGAGGACGCAAUACCUGGUUCAACUUGAGCAGACGGAGUCUCGCUCUGUCGCCCAGGCUGGAGUGCAAUGGCGCGAUCUCUGCUCACUGCAAGCUCCGCCUCCUGGGUUCACGCCAUUCUCCUGCCUCAGCCUCCCGAGUAGCUGGGACCACAGGCGCCCGCCACCACGCCCGGCGAAUUUUUUUUAUUUUUAGUAGAGAAGGGGUUUCGCCGUGUUAGCCAGGAUGGUCUCGAUCUCCUGACCUCGUGAUCCGCCCGCCUAGGCCUCCCAAAGUGCUGGGAUUACAGGCGUGAGCCACCGCGCCCGGCCGAGCAUGAAUAUGUUAAUUUAGGCAAAUGAAUGUCCGUGGGAAUGAUCUUCAAAGAGAAUUAAAGUGGGAUAGAGAGGUCAUCUAUCUGCACCUGUGUCUGAACCAGAAUGACGAGGCACUAGUCAGCUAGUCAGCUAGCUAGUCAGCUAGUUACUGGAGCAGGCGGAGUAAGGAGUACCCCUGGGCUUCUGCCCUGAAACCACCACGGCUACUUCAAAACAAUAUUACGUCAAUUUUCCUGCUUGUUCUUGAGAAGCACUGGUUUCCAAAAUUGGAUGGGGUGAUACAUGUUUUAAUCAGUAUUUACACUGAUUACUCCUUGAUCACUUCAUCAGACAAAUAAUUCGUUGAGCACCUACUAUGUGCCAGGCAGUGUAAUUCAUUGAGCACCUACUGUGUGCCAGGCAGUGUCUGAGGCACUUCUAGCCAUUAUUUCCUAAGGGUUCCAGCAGCCCAUGGAUAAACUUCAAAGAGUGUAAGCUCCUACAAAUUGUUCGUAAUUAUUUUCUGCACAUUUUUGUAGUUUUGGAGAAGAGAGUUUAUGGAGUUCUUGCAAUUCUCAGAAUUAUUUGAUCCCUUUAGGAAUGAGCAUCUCUAGCGUCUGCCUGUUCAUCUGGGACAAUCUGCACCUGGCCGUGGGCCUGCUGCUUCAGGUCAGUAGGUAUCAGAAUGACCUCAGUUGGAUGAGGCAGUUCAGGACCCCUGGCCUCCUUUUAGUCUGGACCCCACUCUCAUUCCUCAUAUUCUCUAUUCACUCGUUCUACUGAGUUACUAUCCUAGUAAUGACAAUGCCACCUAUCAUGUAGAGACUUGGUUUGAUAAAAUGCAUUCACAUUCAACUGCUCGUUUUGAUUUCUAUAACUGGGGAAUACAGAAAGCAAAUAUGGGGUGCAAUGGGAGGAUGUCUCCAUUACCCCAGAUAACUCCAAAAUCCUUCACCUAGUUACCAGUGCAGGAAAUUCGUUCGAAGGCAGAAAUGCAAAAUGAAUAAGAAACAAUUUGGAUGUUUUCCAAAAAUGGAGAGUUGACAGGCACUAUAUUGUACAACCUGAAAUAUCAAUGGUGAAGUAGACAGUUCAUCUCCACAGAGGGCAGGAGGUUGGACCCAGGGCAAUGGAUGUUUUAUAUGGAUGGUUAACCGGUCUGUGGCCAUGAGGUGGAAAGCUGUGUACACCUGUGAAGCCAUCAUCACAAUCAAGUUAGGGAACAUAUCCAUCACCCAAAAAAGUGUUCUCAUGCCCUUUGGUAAUUCCUCCCUCCUAAAUGUCCCUACCCUACCCCAUAUCCCAGUUCCUAUGCAAAAACCGCUGACCAGCUUUCUAUCACUAUAGAUUUGUUUGCAUUUUCUAGACUUUUAUAUAAAAAGAAUUAUACUGUAUGUACACUUUUUUGUCUGUUUUUUCACUUAACAUAUUUAUUUUCAGAAUCAUCUAUCUUGUUGCAGGUGUAUUCCUUUUUAUUGCUCAGUAGUAUUCCACUGUGUGGAUAUAACACAAUUUGUUUAUCAUUUACCUGUUGAGGGACAUUAUACUUGCUUCUAAAUUUUUACUAUCACAAAUAAAGCUGCUGUAGGCAUUCA